AUUGAACGCUGGCGGCAUGCCUUACACAUGCAAGUCGAACGGUAACAGGUCUUCGGAUGCUGACGAGUGGCGAACGGGUGAGUAAUACAUCGGAACGUGCCUAGUAGUGGGGGAUAACUACUCGAAAGAGUGGCUAAUACCGCAUGAGAUCUACGGAUGAAAGCAGGGGAUCGCAAGACCUUGUGCUACUAGAGCGGCCGGUGGCAGAUUAGGUAGUGGGUGGGAUAGAAGCUUACCAAGCCGACGAUCUGUAGCUGGUCUGAGAGGACGAUCAGCCACACUGGGACUGAGACACGGCCCAGACUCCUACGGGAGGCAGCAGUGGGGAAUUUUGGACAAUGGGCGAAAGCCUGAUCCAGCAAUGCCGCGUGCAGGAUGAAGGCCUUCGGGUUGUAAACUGCUUUUGUACGGAACGAAAAGCCCCGGGUUAAUACCCUGGGGUCAUGACGGUACCGUAAGAAUAAGCACCGGCUAACUACGUGCCAGCCGCCGCCGUAA
rnacentral:rRNA from 1 species